ACGGGUGCGGAACACGUACGCAACCUUCCCAUAACUGGUGAAUAGCCCUCCGAAAGGAGGAUUAAUACACCGUAACAUAACGAGUAGGCAUCUAUUUGUUAUUAUAGGCUUCGGCCGGUUUUGGAUGGGCGUGCGCCUGAUUAGGUAGUUGGCGGGGUAACGGCCCACCAAGCCUGCGAUCAGUAACUGGUGUGAGAGCACGACCAGUCACACGGGCACUGAGACACGGGCCCGACUCCUACGGGAGGCAGCAGUAAGGAAUAUUGGUCAAUGGACGAAAGUCUGAACCAGCCAUGCCGCGUGAAGGAUUAAGGCCCUCUGGGUUGUAAACUUCUUUUAUCUGGGACGAAAAAAGGGCUUUCUAGCUCACUUGACGGUACCAGAGGAAUAAGCACCGGCUAACUCCGUGCCAGCAGCCGCGGUAAUACGGAGGGUGCAAGCGUUAUCCGGAUUCACUGGGUUUAAAGGGUGCGUAGGUGGAUUAGUAAGUCAGUGGUGAAAUCUCCGAGCUUAACUCGGAAACUGCCAUUGAUACUAUUAGUCUUGAAUUAUCUGGAGGUAAGCGGAAUAUGUCAUGUAGCGGUGA
rnacentral:rRNA from 1 species